UACGGAGGGUGCAAGCGUUGUCCGGAAUCAUUGGGCGUAAAGAGUUCGUAGGCGGUUUGUUAAGUCUGGUGUUAAAGCCCGAAGCUCAACUUCGGUUCGGCACUGGAUACUGGCAGACUAGAAUGUGGUAGAGGUAAAGGGAAUUCCUGGUGUAGCGGUGAAAUGCGUAGAUAUCAGGAGGAACAUCAGUGGCGUAAGCGCUUUACUGGGCCAUAAUUGACGCUGAGGAACGAAAGCCGGGGUAGCGAAUGGG
rnacentral:rRNA from 1 species